rnacentral:rRNA from 1 species
CGUGUAGGCGGCCUUGCAAGUUGGGUGUGAAAGCCCUCGGCUUAACCGAGGAAGUGCGCCCAAAACUACGAGGCUUGAGUACCGGAGAGGAUGGUGGAAUUCCCGGUGUAGAGGUGAAAUUCGUAGAUAUCGGGAGGAACACCAGCGGCGAAGGCGACCAUCUGGACGGAUACUGACGCUGAGACGCGAAAGCGUGGGGAGCAAACAGGAUUAGAUACCCUGGUAGUCCACGCCGUAAACGAUGAGCGCUAGGUGUUGCGGGUGUUGACCCCUGCAGUGCCGCAGCUAACGCAUUAAGCGCUCCGCCUGGGAAGUACGGCCGCAAGGCUAAA